rnacentral:rRNA from 1 species
CGGUAAUACGGAGGAUCCAAGCGUUAUCCGGAAUCAUUGGGUUUAAAGGGUCCGUAGGCGGUCAGAUAAGUCAGUGGUGAAAGCCCAUCGCUCAACGGUGGAACGGCCAUUGAUACUGUCUGACUUGAAUUAUUAGGAAGUAACUAGAAUAUGUAGUGUAGCGGUGAAAUGCUUAGAGAUUACAUGGAAUACCAAUUGCGAAGGCAGGUUACUACUAAUGGAUUGACGCUGAUGGACGAAAGCGUGAGUAGCGAACAGGAUUAGAUACCCUGGUAGUCCACGCCGUAAACGAUGGAUACUAGCUGUUGGGAGCAAUCUCAGUGGCUAAGCGAAAGUGAUAAGUAUCCCACCUGGGGAGUACGAACGCAAGUUUGAA